rnacentral:rRNA from 1 species
CGUGGUUCGACAAAGUUGCGUUGGUAGAAUAGUGGAGACAAACAAAAGUCCUUUUGAUACUAUAUUGUCAAUGUAACGACAAUCUAAAACCGAAUGUAAAACUAUUAAAGAGGACUUAGUUACGUUUAAGUCUCCUUUCCCUCAAGCCGAAAUGUAUCUUCGACCUUUUCAAUAGUACUGUUACAGUUAAGUAUGAUGUUUUUCAAGGAAAGUAAACAGUUAGCUGAUGAUAUGAACAAAUAAUGAAGUAUUACAAAUUUUAUAAAUGUGUAAGAAGAAUACGUCCCCGGGCAUUUUACCGUUCUCACUGGUAAGAAUUUUAUCAACCUCGUCCUGAUCCACCACGACAUGAGUACCGUACAGAGCCGACAAAACAGACCAUGUUUACGUUCUUCUCCUUUGUUUGACAUCGAAGCUUGCUCAAGUACGCUUCACCUAGAAGUUACUGCAGUAUGUCAUUUCUGGAACUCAACCUACCAAGAGGAGUAUAGAAGUGAAAGCUCCUUGAACUCCAUCGAUGACUACCCAAAUCACGAAGUUCCCUCGAACCACUACCACCAAAACCUUGACAGAUGUUUCCUUUUGAGUUCCUACCCUCUCAUCAACGCCACUUUGCGGAAAUGUUCUUGUUAAUGUCUGCCCAACUCGUUAAGGACUUACUCCAACUGUAGGACAGGGCGGACGAGGUGGUCUUGGAACAGUAGGAUAUACCGACGUGCAGCGCGUACUCGGCACUAGAAGAGGACCACAUGCUCAAGUAGCGUUUACCCUGCCAGCGUCUGGUAGAAGUGCCUAGGGCACACCGCCUUGCUCCGGAGUGAACCGGAGACUCCGACUUGUAACGGUAUCUCUGCCGACUUCGUGACCGGAUGGAGGUACGCCAGCUCUAGUAUGUGGCUCUACACUUCUGUUGGUUGUAUAACGAGCUGUUGUCGAAGGUACAGUUUCAACGUCUGAAACCCAAUAGUGCGGACAAGGGUGAACUCCAGUGGGUACACAGUUGACAAGGUGUCCCGUGUGGCCCGAUGCAGCUGGGCCACAUGGUGGUCACGAUGUUCGACUGGCUGUUCUCACUGCAAAUGUCGAAGCCACAACACAACCACCUCAACUAUAGUAGCUUUGGACGACACCUGUACUCGUCCUCGGUGUCACUCUAGUUGAACCGUUUGUACCGAGAGUUGUCCUAAGUCUUGGUAGUUCAACAAGUCGACCAACUAGGCCUCGAGCCGAUGUUAUGGCUGGGGCUUUGCUUCUCCUGCUAGCUAGCGCAGCGCCUCCACCGGAAGGUCACGAACGUUGACCUCUCCCUAGAUUCCGGCAGGUAGUUCCUCCACCACCUCUAGGACUGAACGCAGUCCCUGCCUCUGCCACCCCUAUUAUCGUACUUAUUCUUCCGUAGAGUCUUUCUUCUGCACACGAACGAGUUCCUACCGGACGUCAAGAGCGGGCUGUGACAAUAUGUAUCUAAGGUAUCGGUCAGUUGAUUGGUGAGCCAUCGUAGCUUACGAUCGUCUAAUAGAUUGUAGUUUACGAUUUUUCUUACGGUGUAUCCUGGAAAAGCCGUGAGAAACUGUGACUGUUUUGUUUUUUAUUAUAAUUUCGAGCCGUUUUACCCCAUAAGUGGCACGACGUUACAAAACUGACGGCUCCAACGUAUGCUGGAACCUACCUUUAAUCACCAAUCGGUCCGU